GCGGCCGUUCUUGUAGGGUGGACUCCCUAAAUCCACGAGCUUGGAUAGCUCCACUUCAGAUCGUGGCAGCAGUAACUUUCUAUCUUUUGCCUAAAUAAAAAGCACUUAGUAUGCUAUCUCAUGCACAGUAGGUGCUCACAUCGAUGUGGAAUAAAUCCACAUAAACCUAAUUCUUAAAAGAUGAUCAUUUUGUAAACGAUGUAACUGGUAUGUAACAAUUUCAACUAGCAAAUUACUAGAUGUAGUUGAUGUGUUGGGAGCAGGCCCCACCCUGGGAGCAGGCCCCCCAUCAACUGCCACAAGCUGCUCUGACUGCCGUGGAAAUCAUCCGACACCACACAGGCUGCCCUGGGGUGCAGAGGGCCGUGCCCCAGAAGAAAGGCAAAGAGGCGUCUGGGAAGCUUGGUCACCAGCCGAGAAGCACCUCUGACACCGUCCAGCCUCUCCAGGUGAGGCCCACCUGAACUCAACCGCCGCCAGCCGAUCUGAAAUCGUGUCUGCUGUUUUUCAUGCCAUCCCCUACCUGCCCUGCCAUCCGCUAGACUCUGGGAGUUUCUUGGCACACUGGCUGAAGACGUGUUGCCCACACACUGAGGGAGGUCCUUACCGUGGACACCGAGCUCCGGGAGGCUGCGGUGGCGGCAGUUGAGUCUGCAGGUGGAGAGGAGCAGGGACUGUUUUGCCUCCACCUCCUUCAAAACCUACUUUUCUUCCCAGCAAGAAUCCCUUCCCUUAUGCUCUCGAAUCCACCCUGGCCUGAGGCUGCGCCUGAGCACCACAUCCUGACACCAUUUGAUUGCGAGAUAUCUGCACGUUCACAAGUGCAGCACUCAUCUCAUCUCCUCACACAGUCGAUCCCUCAGAGCAGACGGGCAAUCCCCACCACCUUCUGAACACUCUGCAUGUUACAGCUCCUACUCAGCAUCUCGGUCAGACCUGGGGUCGCUCUACCUGUUCCACACCUAGACCACAGGUUUUCACCCCGGCCACACAUCAGUACCACUUAGGAAGUUGGAAAAAAAAAUAUACCAGUGCAAGCCAAUGACAGAAAAAACAUUAAUUACCCGAUUUUAAAAUAGGCAAAGAACCUGAAUAGACAUUUGUAGCGAGAAGGUGUACAAACGUCUAAUAAGGAGAAGAAAACUGCUCCAUAUCACUAGUCAUGAGAAAUGCAGAUUAAAACCACAAUGAGGCCAGCGCAGUAGCUCACAGCUGUAAUCCCAGCACUCUGGGAGGCCAACGUAGGAGGAUCACUUGAGUUCAAGACCAGCCUGAGCAACCUAAUGAGACCCUGCCUCUCCAAAAAAAGUUGUCUUUUUUUUUAAUUAGCCAGGCAUGGUGGUGCAUGCCUGUGAUCCCAGCUACUGGGGAGACUGAGGUGGGAGGAUCACUUGAGCCCAGGAGGUCGAAGCUGCAGUGAGCUGUGAUCGUGCCACUGCACUCCAGCCUGGGUAACAGAGCGAGACGCAGUCUCUAAAAGACAACAACAACAAAACCCCACCAUGAGAUACCACUUACACAGAGCAGGAUGGCUGCUACCAAAAAACUAGACAGUGCCAAGUGCCGGUGAGGACAUGGAGAACUGGAACCCCAGCUAUCCGGUGCGGACGUGGGGAACUGGAACCCUGUGCACUGCUGGUGCGAGUGUGAAAUGACAUGGCUGCUAUGGAGACAGCAGAGCGGUUCCUCAGAGAAUUAAACACAGGUACGACCCAGCAUGGGAUCCUGCAGUCCCGCCUCUGGGUGCGCAUCCAGAAGAAAAGAACUCAGUAUGUGGAAGAGACCUCAGCACACGAUCACUGCUGCAGCAUUCACAACAGCCUACGGGGGACGCCCAAGAGUCCAUCUGCAGGUGAAUGGACAAAAAAAACGUGUAUACACACAACAGAAAGUGAUUCCACCACAGAAA